rnacentral:piRNA from 1 species
UUACACAUUACCAAGUCUAGCCAC